rnacentral:rRNA from 1 species
GCUCAUUACAACAGCCACCGUUUACUAGAAUAUAGUUAUCCUACUUGGAUAACUGUGGCAAUUCUAGAGCUAAUACAUGCAAAAAAGCUCUGCCCGCAAGGAACGAGCGCAUUUAUUAGAAUAAAAACCAAUCGGGUUUCGGCCCGUAAUUUGGUGAAUCUGAAUAACUUUGCCAAUCGCACAGUCCUAGUACUGGCGAUGUAUCUUUCAAGUGUCUGCCUUAUCAACUUUCGAUGGUAGGUUAUACGCCUACCAUGGUAGUAACGGGUAACGGAGAAUAAGGGUUCGACUCCGGAGAGGGAGCCUGAGAAACGGCUACCACAUCCAAGGAAGGCAGCAGGCGCGCAAAUUACCCACUUCCAGAACGGAGAGGUAGUGACGAAAAAUAACGAGACAGUCCUCUUCGAGGUCUGUCAUCGGAAUGGGUACAAUUUAAAUCCUUUAACGAGGAUCUAUUGGAGGGCAAGUCUGGUGCCAGCAGCCGCGGUAAUUCCAGCUCCAAUAGCGUAUAUUAAAGUUGUUGCGGUUAAAACGCUCGUAGUUGGAUCUGCGGCCUCGGAGAACGGUCCCCCGAAAGGGCGGUCACUGUCUCUCCUAGCCUAAAUUCGAGUCGUCUCUAGGUGCUCUUUACCGAGUGCUUAGAGUGACUAGAACGUUUACUUUGAAAAAAUUAGAGUGCUUAAAGCAGGCGAAAUAGCCUGAAUAAGGUGCAUGGAAUAAUGGAAUAGGACCUCGGUUCUAUUUUGUUGGUUUUCGGAACCCGAGGUAAUGAUUAAGAGGAACAGACGGGGGCAUUCGUAUUCCGGCGCUAGAGGUGAAAUUC